AGAGGUUAGAGAAGAAAAUGCUAGAGAAAGAGGAGACGGAGAUGGAUCUAGGGUUCUUGAGUAGGAAGAUUAAUUAUAAAAAUCAGUAGAGGAUCAACUCAAUUGAGCCUUGCAGAUUUAUUAGAGUGGCACAGCGAAAGCUAAGAAUGAGUAGCUUAAUGAUUGAAUUGUGUUAUUGUAUUGCUUGAAAUGUAAAUCUUAACUGAAAUGUUGUUAAAGAUAUUCAGUAAAUUCAUACGAAUCAACUCAUGUAUAUAAAGAUUUAAUUAUGUUUCGUAUAUGAAUAAAUUUUUUAAGUUUC